rnacentral:lncRNA from 1 species
UGCCAAUUUGUGAGCUGAGAGGUUCAGAUACGGUGGCAACUGAGAAGGAUUCACCUACAACCUUGAGAAUUUGAAAAUGGGCAAUCUGAACUGCUGCUCUGGAGGAUACUUGGCCCAAAAGGCCAGAAGAAACGUCCAUCAGGGGUCAAGACCAUCAAACUCCAGCUGGGUGAAGAGGGUUCGUAGUUGGUCACAAAAUAAGAUGCACCCCAUAACUGACCCAGUUGAAGUUUCCCAGGAGGACCUGGUGGAGGAGCCCCCCCAAGGCCGGAAUGAGGAACAGAAACUGAGUACCCUGAAGGUGCAUGGAACGGCCAAAGAGAUUGCUUCACAUACAAAUAUCUACAUCCCUCUGCUCAGAUAUGUUCAAAAUGAUGAAGGAUGCUUCACCCCGAAAGCCAGAAAAACCAUCGCUUAGCGGUUCAAGAGCAUCGGUCUCCAGCUGGGUGAAGAGGGUUCGUUGUUGGUCACGAAAUAAGGUGCACCUUAUAACUGACCCAGUUAGAGGUACUCCGGAAAUUUUCUUAUUAAAUUCACUCAUGAAUAAUUAUUGUAGUAUGUGCAGUUCCUCAUAUUUAAGAAAAAAACUGUGAAAUAUUAAGCAAUGUUCCUCUUUUAUUAUAUGUGUUCAAAUGGCAACUUACUACAUCAGUUCGUACUGUUUUAACUAUGGAAAGAAAGAUGCAUUUUAAAUUCAACAUCUGGUUCGUGUUUAAGAGUGAAGAUGGUCUCUAGCUAUGGUUUGGACAUUAGCUAACUUUUUAACAUUAGCUGUCAUAUGUUCCUCCCUGAAGCCAUGUUUCAAGAUUUCUUCAAAUUAUUAGACUUUAUUUAGAACAGGAUUACAUUGACAUAAAAGUUUUAAAAAUAGUACAGAAAAUUCUUAUAUCCUAUCAUUUCAGUUUCAGCAAUCAUAUGUUACUCAGAGAUAGCAUAUGUGUGGAAG